AUUGAACGCUGGCGGCAUGCCUUACACAUGCAAGUCGAACGGCAGCACGGGGGCAACCCUGGUGGCGAGUGGCGAACGGGUGAGUAACAUAUCGGAACGUGCCCUGGAGUGGGGGAUAACUAGUCGAAAGACUAGCUAAUACCGCAUACGAUCUACGGAUGAAAGUGGGGGACCGCAAGGCCUCACGCUCGUGGAGCGGC
rnacentral:rRNA from 1 species